AUUGAACGCUGGCGGCAUGCUUUACACAUGCAAGUCAAACGGUAACAGGCCGCAAGGUGCUGACGAGUGGCGAACGGGUGAGUAAUGCAUCGGAACGUGCCCAGUCGUGGGGGAUAACGCAGCGAAAGCUGCGCUAAUACCGCAUACGAUCUAUGGAUGAAAGCGGGGGACCGUAAGGCCUCGCGCGAUUGGAGCGGCCGAUGUCAGAUUAGGUAGUUGGUGAGGUAAAGGCUCACCAAGCCGACGAUCUGUAGCUGGUCUGAGAGGACGACCAGCCACACUGGGACUGAGACACGGCCCAGACUCCUACGGGAGGCAGCUGUGGGGAAUUUUGGACAAUGGGGGCAACCCUGAUCCAGCAAUGCCGCGUGCAGGAAGAAGGCCUUCGGGUUGUAAACUGCUUUUGUACGGAACGAAACGGCUCUGAUUAAUACCUGGGGCUAAUGACGGUACCGUAAGAAUAAGCACCGGCUAACUACGUGCCAGCCGCCGCAGUAACAC
rnacentral:rRNA from 1 species